rnacentral:rRNA from 1 species
GAUCCUGGCUCAGGAUGAACGCUGGCGGCGUGCCUAAUACAUGCAAGUAGAACGCUGAAGGAAGGAGCUUGCUCUUUCCGGAUGAGUUGCGAACGGGUGAGUAACGCGUAGGUAACCUGCCUGGUAGCGGGGGAUAACUAUUGGAAACGAUAGCUAAUACCGCAUAACAGUAGAUGUUGCAUGACAUUUACUUGAAAGGUGCAAUUGCACCACUACCAGAUGGACCUGCGUUG